AGCGGCGGACGGGUGAGUAACACGUGGGCAACCUGCCUAUGAGACUGGGAUAACUCCGGGAAACCGGGGCUAAUACCGGAUAAUUCUUUUCUACACAUGUAGAAAAGCUGAAAGAUGGUUUCGGCUAUCACUCAUAGAUGGGCCCGCGGCGCAUUAGCUAGUUGGUGAGGUAACGGCUCACCAAGGCGACGAUGCGUAGCCGACCUGAGAGGGUGAUCGGCCACACUGGGACUGAGACACGGCCCAGACUCCUACGGGAGGCAGCAGUAGGGAAUCUUCCGCAAUGGACGAAAGUCUGACGGAGCAACGCCGCGUGAGUGAUGAAGGUUUUCGGAUCGUAAAACUCUGUUGUUAGGGAAGAACAAGUACCGGAGUAACUGCCGGUACCUUGACGGUACCUAACCAGAAAGCCACGGCUAACUACGUGCCAGCAGCCGCGGUAAUACGUAGGUGGCAAGCGUUGUCCGGAAUUAUUGGGCGUAAAGCGCGCGCAGGCGGUCUCUUAAGUCUGAUGUGAAAGCCCCCGGCUCAACCGGGGAGGG
rnacentral:rRNA from 1 species